GCUACCCUGGGGAUAACAGGCUUAUCUCCCCCAAGAGUCCACAUCGACGGGGAGGUUUGGCACCUCGAUGUCGGCUCAUCACAUCCUGGGGCUGUAGUAGGUCCCAAGGGUUGGGCUGUUCGCCCAUUAAAGUGGUACGCGAGCUGGGUUCAGAACGUCGUGAGACAGUUCGGUCCCUAUCCGUCGCAGGCGUAGGAAAUUUGAGAAGACCUGUCCUUAGUACGAGAGGACCGGGAUGGACGUACC
rnacentral:rRNA from 1 species